GCGGGUGUAGCUCAGUUGGCUAGAGCGUCAGCCUUCCAAGCUGAGGGUCGAGGGUUCGAGUCCCUUCACCCGCUCCA
rnacentral:tRNA from 1 species